rnacentral:rRNA from 1 species
AUUGAACGCUGGCGGAAUGCUUUACACAUGCAAGUCGAACGGCAGCACGGGAGCUUGCUCCUGGUGGCGAGUGGCGAACGGGUGAGUAAUGCGUCGGAACGUACCGAGUAAUGGGGGAUAACGCAGCGAAAGCUGUGCUAAUACCGCAUACGCCCUGAGGGGGAAAGUGGGGGAUCGCAAGACCUCACGUUAUUCGAGCGGCCGACGUCUGAUUAGCUAGUUGGUGGGGUAAAGGCCUACCAAGGCGACGAUCAGUAGCGGGUCUGAGAGGAUGAUCCGCCACACUGGAACUGAGACACGGUCCAGACUCCUACGGGAGGCAGCAGUGGGGAAUUUUGGACAAUGGGGGCAACCCUGAUCCAGCCAUUCCGCGUGAGUGAAGAAGGCCU